rnacentral:snRNA from 1 species
AGAUGUGAGGGCGACCUGGCUGCAACAUCUGUCACCCCACUGAUCAUCAGGGUUGAUUCGGCUGAUCUGGCUGGCUAGGCGGGUGUCCCCUUCCUCCCUCAGCGCUCCAUGUGCAUCCCUCCCAAAGCUGUGUGCUUGGUCGAAGAGGAUAACCACUCCUGACAGAUAAGGACUGCCCCUUGGUCAAGGGUUUACCAGUAGCUGCGCUCCCCUGCUAGGGCUUCCAAACAAGCUCUCAUGGUAUGAAGUUUUUUGUUUUGUUUCGUCUUGUUGAGACAGUCUCACUAUGUGUCUAUCCCAGACUGUCCUUGAACUCCAAGAGAUCCUCCUG